rnacentral:tRNA from 1 species
AGGGAUGUGGCUCAGCUGGUAGAGCCCUUGCCUAGCAUGCAUGAAGCCCUGGGUUCAAUCCCCAACACCACAC